AGAAGAGAUGUCAUAGCGACACAGAGGAAGGAGCCGUGAGAACAUGGAGGUCAACUCCCAAGUCACGCAUCUACAAACCAACAGUAUUCAGCCACAGGAGUCAAUAGCUGAGACACGGGGUACAGAUUCUUUCUCAGAGCCCGCAGGAGCUCCUGUCAUGCUUCAUUUCCUCCUGGGCUAGCAGCACAUCCCCUGGCGUUGCUCAGCUCGGUAAGGAAUGCUACUCUCCAGUUCACAGAUAAAGACACUGGCGCUCAGAACUCAAGUAAUUUGCCCAAAGACACAAAGCAAGUUCAGGCAGAACACAGAGAGAGCUAAGCCCUGCUCUGACUGGUCUCCAAAGUCUGCUGUGGAGAAAUGCAUCUUGGCAUCUCUCUGUCUGCUGCCCUACAACACAUGAAUCGUGCAGCUCACUGCUCGAUGACUAGAAGCCACGUGCCUCACCAUGCACGUGCUGAGGGCGGCAGAGGCUCCCUGCUUCAGAGGCCUGACUGAACACUGAGGAAGGUGAAGACUGGGAGAUGGGCCCCCUCAACAGUGUGCUGUGCCCACUCUGCUACAGUUUCUAUGUGAACUUCCCCCUCUAAAGGCUUUUGUCCUG